rnacentral:rRNA from 1 species
GAAAGGCUUGAUACCAGUCAUGUCGCUGAUGAUGAGCUUAGGGCUGUAAGCUCUCGAACGGGGAUGAUAUGACCGUAACCGGUAGAGGAGGCACGCUAAAAUCGUGCAGCAGGCGCGUAUAUGAAUGUGCAAGCGUGUCGAAUCACUGGGCGUAAAGAAUGCGUAGCGCUAGACAAGUCAGAGUGAAAUCCCAGGGCUCAACCCUGGAAACUGCUUUGAAACUGUCUUGCUAGAGUCCCGGAGGGGUGGGCGGAAAUUCCGAGUGUAGAGGUGAAAUUCGCAGAUAUUCGGAGGAACACCAGUGGCGUAGGCGGCCAACUGGACGGGAACUGACGCUGAGGCAUGAAAGUGUGGGGAGCAAACAGGAUUAGAUACCCUGGUAGUCCACACCGUAAACGAUGUGUGCUAGUUGUUGGGUGGCAUUGCCAUUCAGUGACGGAGCUAACGUUUUAAGCACACCGCCUGGGAAGUACGGCCGCAAGGUUAAAACUCAAAGGAAUUGACGGGGACCCGCACAAGCGGUGGAACAUGUCCUUUAAUUCGUAGCAACGCGAAGAACCUUACCUACCCUUGACAUGCCAGUUGGGAUUUCCAGAGAUGGAUUUCUUCAUUUAGUUGGACUGGACACAGGUGCUGCAUGGCUGUCGUCAGCUCGUGUCGUGAGAUGUUGGGUUAAGUCCCGCAACGAGCGCAACCCUCGUCGUCUGUUGCCAGCAUUUAGUUGGGCACUCAGAUGAGACUGCCGGUGACAAGCCGGAGGAAGGUGGGGAUGACGUCAUGUCAUCAUGGCCCUUACGGGUAGGGCUAGAGACGUGUUACAAUGGUGGUGACAGUGGGUUGCAAGGUCGUGAGGCCGAGCUAAUCCCUAAAAGCCAUCUCAGUUCGGAUUGUACUCUGCAACUCGAGUACAUGAAGUUGGAAUCGCUAGUAAUCGUAGAUCAGCACGCUACGGUGAAUACGUUCCCGGGCCUUGUACACACCGCCCGUCAAGUCAUGGGAGUCGGUUUUGCCUGAAGGUAGUGAGCUAACCGCAAGGAGGCAGCUAACCACGGCAGGGCUGGUGACUGGGACUAAGUCGUAACAAGGUAACCGUAA